UACGUAGGGGGCUAGCGUUGUCCGGAAUCAUUGGGCGUAAAGAGCGUGUAGGCGGCCUGGUAAGUCCGCUGUAAAAGUCAAAGGCUCAACCUUUGAAUGUCAGUGGAUACUGCCGGGCUAGAGUCCGGAAGAGGCGAGUGGAACUCCUGGUGUAGCGGUGGAAUGCGCAGAUAUCAGGAAGAACACCAACGGCGAAGGCAGCUCGCUAGGACGGUACUGACGCUGAGACGCGAAAGCGUGGGGAGCGAACAGG
rnacentral:rRNA from 1 species